GUGCUUCAGCAGCACAAAUACUAAAAUUGGAAAAAUACAGAAAAGAUUAUCAUGGCUCCUGUGCAAGGAUGACAUGCAAAUUUGUGAAGUGUUCCAUAUUUUU